rnacentral:rRNA from 1 species
AUUGAACGCUGGCGGCAGGCCUAACACAUGCAAGUCGGACGAGCGGCGGACGGGUGAGUAAUGUCUGGGGAACUGCCCGAUGGAGGGGGAUAACUACUGGAAACGGUAGCUAAUACCGCAUACCAUCAGAUGUACCCAGAUGGGAUUAGCUAGUAGGUGGGGUAACGGCUCACCUAGGCGACGAUCCCUAGCUGGUCUGAGAGGAUGAUCAGCCACACUGGGACGGAGACACGGUCCAGACGCCUACGGGAGGCAGCAGUGGGGAAUAUUGCACAAUGGGCGCAAGCCUGAUGCAGCCAUGCCGCGUGUAUGAAGAAGGCCUUAGGGUUGUAAAGUACUUUCAGUGGGGAGGCGUUACUCGCAGAAGAAGCACCGGCUAACUCCGUGCCAGCAGCCGCGGUAAUAC